GGGGAAUAUUGCACAAUGGGCGAAAGCCUGAUGCAGCAACGCCGCGUGAGUGAUGAAGGCCUUCGGGUUGUAAAGCUCUGUCUUCUGGGACGAUAAUGACGGUACCAGAGGAGGAAGCCACGGCUAACUACGUGCCAGCAGCCGCGGUAAUACGUAGGUGGCAAGCGUUGUCCGGAAUUACUGGGCGUAAAGGAUGCGUAGGCGGAUAUUUAAGUCAGAUGUGAAAUCCCCGGGCUUAACUUGGGGGCUGCAUUUGAAACUGGGUAUCUAGAGUGCAGGAGAGGUAAGUGGAAUUCCUAGUGUAGCGGUGAAAUGCGUAGAGAUUAGGAAGAACACCAGUGGCGAAGGCGACUUACUGGACUGUAACUGACGCUGAGGCAUGAAAGCGUGGGGAGCAAACA
rnacentral:rRNA from 1 species